rnacentral:rRNA from 1 species
GGAGGUAGUGACAAUAAAUCACAAUGCGGGACUAUCAGUCUUGCAAUUGGAUUGAGAACAAUGUACAACUCUUAUCGAUAAGCCAUUGGAGGGCAAGUCUGGUGCCAGCAGCCGCGGUAAUUCCAGCUCCAAUAGCGUAUAUUAACGUUGUUGCAGUUAAAAAGCUCGUAGUUGAAGUGUGGGUGAUCGCUGUUGUGAGACUUCGGUCUCUCGAUAGUAAGUCACCCCCUUCCAGUAUCCAGUAGUGGGUAUUCAGUUACUUACUAUUGUGUGUUGGUCGUUUACUGUGAGAAAAUUAGAGUGUUCAAAGCAGGCGUUUGCUUGAAUAGAUUAGCAUGGAAUAAUAAUUGAAGGCUUUCGUGUUCGAUUUGAUUGGUUUGUUCAUGGAAGCAAGGUUAAAAGGAACAGUUGGGGGUAUUCAUAUUCACUAGUUAGAGGUGAAAUUCUCGGAUUUAUGGAAGAUGAACAAGUGCGAAAGCA